rnacentral:tRNA from 1 species
GGGGUUGUGGCUCAGUGGUGGAGUGCUUGCCUCACAUGUAUGAGGCACUGGGUUCGAUCCUCAGCAUCACAU